AAAAGUGACAAGUUUGCAAGUUGAAAACUCCUUAGUAAUAGUGUGAUGACAAUUUUGCCCCUCAAAAAGUACAAUUACGAUUUUGCCCUUAAAUUACAAUUGGCAUACUCCCUUUUUUUUUUGACGGGAAUUGGCAUACUCCUUUGAUCAUAGUAUUCUUCCCAUUGUAACCUUUAAAAAUAAAAAUAAAAUAAAAUUAUUGAGCUUUCUUCUGCUCCACUUUUCCUCACACAGAUGAUUGAUCAACACUUUUCCUCUCUCCUCAUCACUUUUCAAUCUCUCUCCUCAGUUUUCAAUCUGGUUCUUCUCUCUCCUCAAGGUGAGUUCUUGGAUUUCAAGGUGAGAUUGAAAUCUGGUUCAUCCAAAUCUGGUUCAAAUUACAAAUCUGUUUGCAAUUUGGUUCUUCUCUCUCCUUAAGCUUCUGACCUCAGUUCUUCACUCUAUUGGUUAGUUUUUGGUUUCAAUUUCGUCGAUUUAUGUGAAAUUUAAGCGACUUCUAGGUUUUCACUCCCCCAUUGAAAUAGCUUUUAAGGUUAAAUUAUUUUCUUUUUCUUAUUAAAUCAGCAAAUAUGCGACUUUCUUAUCUUUUUUCUCCAUUAAGCAGCUUCCGAGCUUUUUCCGUUCUUCACUAAAGCAAAAUUUCUGCUUUCCCCUUUAUUGAAGCAGCUUACAAGGUAAUGUGUUUUUCAAUCAUCAAGUUUCCAUUUUGCAAUCGGAUUUACUCUUUGUGAAUUAUUAUCAGAUUUACUUCGAUCUAAUUUGGAAAAAAAAAAAUGGAAACCAAUUUUAUUAAUUUUUUGUGGGUUUAAUAUUUUAGGGUUCAAUCUGAUCGAAAAUUAUUGUCGGGAUCUCUUGAUCAAUUUGCUCACUUGCAUUCUAGGUAUUUCAAAUUCUGAGUUUAUAUACUCCUUAUAAAGCGGGUUCAAGGAUUAUAAUUUGAGUGUUCCAUUGUUUCUGGGUUUGGUUCACUUAGGUUAUUAGGUUAUUAUUGGUUUAGUUGUAGCAAUUAUUAUAUACUUGCACUCUAAGUCUCACUUAACUCUUUCUUAUCUUCUCAUUAAGAGAGAAGGGCUAAGAAGGAAGAACAGUAAUCGUUCUUCUCGUGCUGGUCUUCAGGUCUUUUCUUUGCCCUAUUUUUAAAUUUUUUUUAUGGUUUUUUAAUGUUAUUUUUGUAGAUCUACACUUGUUUUUCAAAAGUUGAGGAAUUUUGCUUGUUGGGUUCUGUUCAAAUCACUAAAUUUGUCAUUUGGUUGUGUUAUUUGAUAUUAUUUUCAUGAGAUUAGUUAUGGGAUUUCUGGGUUUUAGAAUUUGGUUCCGAAAUUCUAUAUUUGGGAUAUAUAUGAGGUGGGGGGUUUGUUAAUUGUCAUUAGUUGUUCCGUUUGAAUUGAUGUUGUGAUUUUGGGUAUGAACUAAUGUAAUGCUUGUUGGAUGUGUUGGUUUUAGGGGCACGCAUUGUUUUGGUAGAAUUAACCUUUGAACAUUGAGUGAUGUAAAAAUUAAAACUCGAUAUAUAAGUAAUAGAAGUUUCAAUCUUUGAAAUCUAAUUUUGUAGCUGUUUUCUCGUUCAUUCUUCGUCCAGUAUUUCAUAUUUUUGUUGUUUUUCAGAUUUUAUUGAUGGAGCUCAUCUAAUGUUAUAGACAAUUAUUAAAGCUCCUAUUGUUGUUGGACUAAAAGUGAUUAUUUGGUUAACAAAAUUGCUUGCUGUAGGUUUUAGAGAAGAUCAUGAAUGGGGUGCAAAGAUUUAGGUUCCAAAGCAAAGGGUGGAUCGAGUCUCCUUUGAAUAGGGCUAACACUACCACAGGGUAAAAGAUGAAAUUUACGUUUUCUCAUCGGGGUUGCAUGUCUAGUAAACUAGAUAAUUCAUCCCUCCUGCUUGUACUUUUACUCAAAUGAUGAAAAAUCUUGCAGGUAGCAGUCCGAAUAAUUUCUUCAUAAUAAUAUCAAUUUCGGUACUACUUGAAGACAUAAUACAUUAAAUCAA